CUGCUAUAUGAUACAGAUAUAAUGAAAUGCUCACUUCUGCCUUUGAGGUUUUAAAUCACUGUAUUUGCAGUUCCAAUUUUGCUUUGCUGUCAGGGUUGCAAGAAUAACGAUUUCAGUUUGGAGGGCCAUCAUUCUGAUACGACCAUCACUUUAGUACCGUUGAUGGAUUUCUUGACGUCUAUGCUAAAGCAAUAUUUGAAAGUGUUCAUAUUUCCUAAUCUAAGUCUGUGC